rnacentral:lncRNA from 1 species
CUGGUACCUCUGUGGGUCUGGAGCUGAUGGGGAGAACUCUCAGUGGAGCUGGGGAGGACUUGGAAAACCGGGAUAUGUUGGAAUUCAGGAUCUGACCUGCACCUCCUCCUUUCAAAGUCUCUCUUCCUUCUUCCAGGACUCGAAGACCCUUCACGUCUCCGAACGCCAACUCCAGAGCAAGGUGGUGCCACCUCCCCGUGCCAGCUUCCCACCCCGGGAUCUCCCAGACCCCUUUGGCGCCAUGAAGACCCCUCAGGACAUGAAGCCUGAGGGAGAGGCCGAAAGCCAGGACUCCUCCCUGGGCCUGUCCCCCUCCCAGCCCUCAGAGCUGGGCUACCUGAACGUGGCCUCCCCGGGGGACACCACGGCCUCCCCGCUGCAGGAGGAGAGCAGGAGCGUCGGCUCGGAGACCUUCUGAGCUGGGAAUUCUGUGCAGAGUCAUCUGGAUGCAGGACUGGGGCUCCUGAGCUGGGAAUUCUGUGCAGAGUCACCUGGAUGCAGGACUGGGGCUCCUGAGCUGGGAAUUCUGUGCAGUGUCACCUGGAUGCAGGACUGGGACUCCUGAGCUGGGAAUUCUGUGCAGAGUCACCUGGAUGCAGGACUGGGACUCCUGAGCUGGGAAUUCUGUGCAGAGUCACCUGGAUGCAGGACUGGGACUCCUGAGCUGGGAAUUCUGUGCAGAGUCACCCUGGGGCUCCUGGGAAUGUUGUGCAGAGUCACCUGGAUGCAGGACUGGGGCUCCUGGUGCCGUGGGAUGACAGAGACUGCAAAGAGAAGAAUUGCCAAAUGGACUGACCUAGGGAUUUCUGGGAUAUUUUCCAGCUGAGUUAAUCCAGUGUUGUUUUUUUUUUUCCACGUACCCCCUGUAAAUGUGUUUGUGUCAUCCCAGAGACACUGGAGGUUGGAAUGUGUAGAUAAACUCAUAAACAUGGAAGAGGGGUGGGGUGAAGUGUGUCUUCCCUCAACCCUAAUUCCUUGUCCAGGCCAAAUCUAUAAAUUUUAUAAAGAAAAGAAAUUAAUGUUCAUUGGUUCUUAAUUACAUCAUUCUCUUUCAUUAACCAGUAUUUCACUUCUAUUGGUUAUUGAUUUCUCAAUUUCUGUGUUAAUUAAAUCCACAUUUUUAGUAUCUUUUUUCCUAGAAGGGGCUUUCCAGCACGUGGACUGAAUUCUUUGUUAAUUCUUUUCCCUAUCUUCUGGUUUCUACAGAAGGUCCUUGGUUAGGUGGGAUAUUGGGAAAAAUUCCUCCCUGUGAGGAUGGGGAGGGGCUGGGAUGGAAUUCCCAGAGAAGCUGUGGCUGCCCCAUCCCUGGGAGUGUCCAAGGCCAGGUUGGAGCAACCUGGGAUAGCAAAGGUGUCCCUGCCGUGAGUGGAACAAACUGAACCUUAAUGUCCCUUCCCACCCAAACCAUUCCAUGAAUC